rnacentral:tRNA from 1 species
GCCUUCAUAGUGUAGUGGUCAGCACGUUCGGCUUGUAUUCGAGAGGUCCAUGGUUCAAAUCCCGGCGAAGGCA